rnacentral:lncRNA from 1 species
GAUGCAAACUGAUUUUCAAGCAACCUAAUUUACUACUUCUCAGAGGGCCCAGUUGUAAAUGGAGACUCAGGGUCAGGAGUGCAAUUUUCGGGCCGGAGGUGCCUUGCUGCACACCCUGCGUAAAUCCACCUUGACAUUUGAAAAGUCAUUCUCAAAAAUCAUCAGAAAGAGUGAAGUCCAAACUCAGUGCUGGCAUAAGUGCUCUUGGACUCGGUGGAACUACGCUUGCUUGUGCCAAUAUUAAAUUUGGACAUCUACCUUAAAGAAAAACAGAAUAAAAAAGUCCCCCGGCCUUUUAGGUAGAGAUUA